GUCCAGCUGACGAGUCUCAAACGGUACGAAACUCACGUCCUGGAU
rfam:Schistosoma haematobium scaffold1008_16, whole genome shotgun sequence.